GAUGAUUUUUUUAUCUUAAUUUAUAUGUUUGGCUCAUGAUUGAAGUUAAUUGUUGUUCAAAUGGAAUUUUAGGUCACGUUUAUUCGUAAGCCGGAUUUGAUGAAGAUUUCAUGUUAUGUGGUUCUGUGCUGAAUUCUGAAUUGGAUAAUCCAGGCUUUAAUUUAAGAUUCUUCAAGUUUUUUGAAGAACGGUCUAAUUUACUCGACACCUUGAGACAACCAGAGCAUUUGUUGUUUCUGGGAACGCUUCAUCCGAAGGAAGGCCUUGUAAACUAUUCAACAAAGAUUAUCCGAGGCUAUUAUCGAAUUGUUAAGUUGAAUGGACAUGAAGAGCUCGAAGCGUUUGAUGAACCCAGGCAAAUCUUGAAGAGUUUUUUUGGUAGAUUUUGAGGAUCUUUCUGAUAGUGAUAACGCGAAUUUGGACGAAGACAUUGGGCAGCAGAGCACAUGGAAGAGGAUGUUAAUGGAGACCUAUUAGAACAUUGGUAGGGAUAUGUAUAAAACAAUGCUAAUAAGAGAUUAUGUGUAGGCUUAUGCCUUGAAAAAAGACUCAUUUGGGGAAGCCGAGUAGGGAGUUCAAGAAAGUCUAUAAGUCACCACUCCUCAAAUAUGGAACAUAAGUUGCAAUCGUAUGCUCCAAUAAUCUUAUCCAACCCUUGAACAAGCUGGAGUUUUGAAUUUCAUGUGGAAGCAGAGUCACACAAUUAAAUGGUUGAAAGGCCUACGAGCCCUGUGCCGCCUUUGAUGAUCGCAAGAACUGGUGCAAGAGACGCAUCUACCUUUUUGUCCAUGUGUCGUGUUUAUGCAGGGCUUCAGUAUCAAGCCGAUGUGUGUGAUGGUUUAUUGUUGUCUACGGGUGGGUUGGGUACUGGGUCCAAAUGGGUUUGGGUCUUAACAGGUCGGUUUGUGAACAACUGGAGGAAUGGUGGGAACAAUUAGCGUUAACGGCUGUUAAUGGGUAAUGGUGGACAGUCAAAAUGUGUUCGCCUAGAAUAACCAUGUGAAGAAUCUCUAUACCUUUUAUGACAAGGAAUUUUGUGACCAGACACUCAUAAUCCAUUUUUUAAAAUUAUACCACUUUGUUCUCCAUUGAGUGAUGCAGAUCCUACAUCAAGCUUUACGAUUCUCCACCAAAAUCAUCAACCAAAGAAGACGAUGAGCUAGCAAAAUUUCAUGCUUCUCGGUAGAAGAAAUUGAGGUUGCUGCAGAGAGGCCAGAUCCUAUGAUAUUUCUUCUGAUGGUAGUUUUUUAAUUCUUUGCACUUACCUGGGUAGUUAAAAAAAGUAUAAAACAGAAUGGUUUCAUCUUUAAAUCAAACUUAUACAACAUGAAUGCUAUGUUUUAGAAGUUCGUUCAGGCUAUUAGAUUUGUGGUAAGCUAUUACUAAAUAUUAUUCUAAUGGUACAAUCCACAGAGGCAGGAUAGUGGUGGAGAAGAUGAAAGGAAAGAAGGCAGAGGUGGUGACGAGAGAGUACACCAUUAAUCUUGACAAACGGCUGCAUGGAUGGUAUAUUGUUUAUAGUGGUUGAUUAAGAUUUUCGAGUUUUGUAGUGGAUUUUUGAUAUUCUGAUGGCUUGAUUCACUAAAGUGAUGAAAAUCCUUCAAGUUUCAGUUAGUUUUCUUUUCAUUUGGUUUAGUUUUCUUUUCAUUUGGUUUCUUUAACCUUUGCUGUAAGCAAAGUGUAAUUGGAAUCAUUUGGUUGUAUCAGUUGCAAAGUAUAGUCUUUUAGAUCCUACAUUAAUAUGUAAUGGAUGCUUCAAUUUUGUUUGAAAAUAUUUAAUAGUGCA